GUGUUCGUUCAGCAGCACAUAUACUAACGUUAGAACAAUACAGAUAAGAUUAACAAGAGCCCCAUUCAAAGAUGAGGCACAAAUUCCUGAAGUGUUCCAUAUUUUG